AAAAGUCGUAACAAGGCAUCCGUAGGUGAACCUGCGGAAGGAUCAUUAUCGUACUACAGAGGUGCAAGGGUUGUCGCUGACCUUUCCAAAAGGUCGUGACGCCCGAGCGCUCUCAAUCCAUUUCACCCCUUGUGCAUCACCGCGCGGGGUCGCUCCCUCUUGGCUCGCUUCGAGAGGGGGAGGCUCGCGUUUUUCACACAUAAACACCCUUCUGGUUUAGAAUGUCAUUCAUUUGCGAUCACACGCAAUCAAUACAACUUUCAACAACGGAUCUCUUGGCUCUCGCAUCGAUGAAGAACGCAGCGAAAUGCGAUACGUAAUGUGAAUUGCAGAAUUCAGUGAAUCAUCGAAUCUUUGAACGCACCUUGCGCCCCUUGGUAUUCCGAGGGGCACACCCGUUUGAGUGUCGUGAAAUUCUCAAACCUUCUUGGUUUCUCGAUCAAGAUGGCUUUGGACUUUGGAGGCAUUUUGCUGGCUUUGCGAAAAGCCAGCUCCUCUUAAAUACAUUAGUGGGGUCCCCUUUGCCGAUCCCCAGGCGUGAUAAGAUGUUUCUACGUCUCGGGAUUUGCUCUGUUCCUUGGGAACCCGCUUAUAACCGUCUCAUGGGAGACAUCGUUCGAGCAUGCUCGACCCACGAACCUUGACCUCAAAUCGGGUGAGACUACCCGCUGAACUUAAGCAUAUCAAUAAG
rnacentral:rRNA from 1 species